rnacentral:lncRNA from 1 species
AAAGUAGGAAGGAAGGGAAAUUCUGUCCUACUGAAUACCAGGAUUUUCUAAUUUAAUUUAGCCCUCUGUUUUCACAGAAGCAACCAGUUUCCAGCCAGAAAGAUGGGACAGCUCUCUGAGUCUUCUUUCAUUCAAGCUGGAUUGGGGAAGGGAAAAAGAAAUCUCAGGGAGCCUUUUAUAACUUCUUGCCCUUGACUGACUAACUGCUCAGUCUUCAGCUUUUGCAUUCCGGAGUGAGUGUGGAGGCAUUGAGGUCUGCAGGAAUAAAUGAGAGAAGUCCAUAUGCCUCCAGGACUGGAUGACUGAAACAGCUGCAUUUGAAAGAAACACAAAAGAAGAUACUAAAUCCUGUCAUAUCAACCUCAACAGAAUGGGAAUCCUCUCAAAAGGUUCUUCCACCGCACCCAUAAUAACUGCUUACUUAUCUUCUCACUAGAAUGGUUUCUGGUCUCCAGGUAGUGGUGGGAGCUUGGAGAAGGAAGACCUUGGAAUGCAAAGUCUUGGGUUCUGAUUGAUAACUCUGUAUUUUACUACAUAUAGAGCUAUGAGCAAAUCCCCAAGUCUUGCUGAAAUUCAAUUUCCUUCUCUCAAAAGUAGGGAUAAAAAU